AAAGACUUAGUCCUAACCUUACUGUUGGUUUUUGCUAGGUAUAUACAUGCAAGUAUCCGCGCUCCAGUGUAAACGCCCUAAACACCUUAUCAUUAAGCCAAUAGGAGCGGGCAUCAGGCUCACCACCUACCGUAGCCCAAGACGCCUCGCACUUGCCACACCCCCACGGGUACUCAGCAGUAAUUAAUAUUAAGCAAUGAGUGUAAACUUGACUUAGCCAUAGCAAAUCAGGGUCGGUAAAUCCUGUGCCAGCCACCGCGGUCAUACAGGAGACCCAAAUCAACCUUACGUAACGGCGUAAAGAGUGGUCACAUGUUAUCCAAGUAACUAAGAUUAAAAAGCAACUGAGCUGUCAUAAGCCCAAGAUGCCCAUAAGGCCUACUACCCAAAGAAGAUCUUAGCCUAACGAUCAAUUGAACUCCACGAAAGCCAGGGCCCAAACUGGGAUUAGAUACCCCACUAUGCCUGGCCCUAAAUCUUGAUGCCUGCCCCUACUUANGCAUCCGCCCGAGAACUACGAGCACCAACGCUUAAAACUCUAAGGACUUGGCGGUGUCCCAAACCCACCUAGAGGAGCCUGUUCUAUAAUCGAUGAUCCACGAUACUACCUGACCAUUCCUUGCCAAAACAGCCUAUAUACCGCCGUCGCCAGCCCACCUCCCCUGAAAGCCUAACAGUGGGCACAAUAGUCCAACCACGCUAAUAAGACAGGUCAAGGUAUAGCCUAUGGAGUGGAAGCAAUGGGCUACAUUUUCUAACUUAGAACAUAACGGCAAGGGGGUAUGAAACUACCCCCCAAAGGAGGAUUUAGCAGUAAAGUGGGACAAUUGAGCCCUCUUUAAGCCGGCCCUGGGGCACGUACACACCGCCCGUCACCCUCCUCGCAAGCGACCCCCCCCCCCCUACAUUAAAAAACCACCAAGCUAAAGAUGAGGUAAGUCGUAACAAGGUAAGUGUACCGGAAGGUGCA
rnacentral:ncRNA from 1 species